GGGGACCGUUUGUAGUUAGGAUCCGCUGUGGCGUCCUGAGUGGAGUUUGGGACCCCAGGGAGGGAGGGUGUGGGCGUUCGGGUCCAGAGGAGCUGUUUAGUAUCCAAGAUGAAUGACAGCCUGUUUGUCAGUUUGGACAGACUUUUGCUAGAAUUUGUCUUCCAGUAUGAGCAAGACAUAAGUACUAAAGAAGAGAUGAUUCAAAGAAUUAAUAAAACCACCAGAAAUCAGGGAUCAAAAUCGAUAGAUGCCACAUUUUCAGGAAUAAUAAUUCUGAAAAAUAAUGUUAUCAGAGAAAUAGCAAGGCAAAUCACACAAAUACUGUAUAGUAUUUUAAGAUCCAACAAAACAACUAUAAAAAAUAGAGUUCUAAAUUUCUUCAUCGUUCUGAAAAGGUAGAGUUUGGUUAUAUUUUCUGCAAUCAAAAAAGAAUACAGAAUAUUAAGAAUUUAUUUUAAUCUUUUUAAGAAAUUAUGUCCAUUUUAUCUUCUAUUUAAUCACUAGUAACAGAAAUAAGUGAGUUGAAAGUGCGUUUAAUAAUUGACAUAGAAUUGAUGAAUAGAAAUUUCACAUUUGUCAAAAACAGAAGGCUUCUAUUAGUGUCAUUAACGAAUAAAUGUUUGCAAGAAUUCAUAGCAUCUUAAGAUACGAUUGACCUUAGAUAUCACUGAAUCUAGCCCUUUUAUGUUAAAGAUGAGGUACAAGGGACAUUUAUUUUUUCAUCAUUCCCAAACUGAAAAUCUUCUUAGCUUCUGGCUCUAGGAUCAGGCCUGGCCCUGGUUCUCUGCAUUUUAGUAUACGGUCCCACCCAUCUCAAGCCUCGUUUCCUCUCCAUUCUCUGGCUCUCUUCCUUUUAGAAUGCUGUGAAGAUAUUAAGGAAAACAAAGUAACUAUUUGUAGGAUACACGAAACUAUAAAUGCAACAGAUGAGGAAAUUGAUCAUUACUGUAAACAUAGUGAGGAGAUUAAAGACAACUGUAGAAACUGGAAGCCAACAUGUGAUGUUUUUCGUAAACAUGAAGAUUAUAUGCAGGACCAAUUUACUGUUUAUCAAGGAACUGUUGAAAAAGACAAAGAAAUGUAUCAUGAUUAUAUAUGUCAGUAUAAAGAAGUUUUGAAGCAGUACCAACUAAAAUACUCAGAAACACCCUUUUCACGUGAAUAUUAUGAGAAGAAAAGAGA
rnacentral:lncRNA from 10 species